rnacentral:rRNA from 1 species
GACGAACGCUGGCGGCGUGCCUAAUACAUGCAAGUCGAACGCUGAAGGAGGAGCUUGCUUCUCUGGAUGAGUUGCGAACGGGUGAGUAACGCGUAGGUAACCUGCCUGGUAGCGGGGGAUAACUAUUGGAAACGAUAGCUAAUACCGCAUAAGAGUAGAUGUCGCAUGACAUUUGCUUAAAAGGUGCAAUUGCAUCACUACUAGAUGGUCCUGCGUUGUAUUAGCUAGUUGGUGAGGUAACGGCUCACCAACGCAACGAUUCAUAGUCGACCUGGGGGGGGGGUCGGCCACACUGGGACUGGGACACCGCCCAGGCUCCUACGGGGGGGAGCAGUAGGGGAUUCUCGGGAAUGGACGGAAGGCUUACCGAGCAACGGCGGGGGAGUGGAGGAGGGUUUCGGGACGGAAAGCUCUGGUGUAAGGGGAGAACGAGUGGGAGAAGUGAAAGUGCACACUGUGACGGUACCUUACCAGAAAGGGACGGCUAACUACGUG